rnacentral:rRNA from 1 species
GUUAUUAAAUACGUUUCUAAGAGUCGAGUUGUUUGGGAAUGCAGCUCUAAAUGGGUGGUAAAUUUCACCUAAUGCUAAAUAUAAGCGAGAGACCGAUAGCGAACAAGUACAGUGAUGGAAAGAUGAAAAGAACUUUGAAAAGAGAGUUAAAUAGUACGUGAAAUUGUUGAAAGGGAAACGAUUGAAGUCAGUCAUGCCGGUGGGAAUCAACUUAGGGGAAACUCUGGGUGCACUUCUUCGCUUGGCAGGUCAACGUCGAUUUUGAAUGUCAUAAAAUAAUUGGGGGAAGGUAGCUCCUUCGGGAGUGUUAUAGCCCUUGAUAGAUGUGAUGUUUGGGGUCGAGGAUUGCAACGGAUACCCUUCGGGGCUAGCCGCCUGAUCUCUAAUUGGUGUUGGGUUACGGAUAGCAUGCUGACCGUGAUCUAAUUACUGGUUAGA